rnacentral:rRNA from 1 species
GAUGAACGCUGGCGGCGUGCCUAAUACAUGCAAGUCGAGCGAACAGACGAGGAGCUUGCUCCUCUGACGUUAGCGGCGGACGGGUGAGUAACACGUGGAUAACCCACCUUUAAGACUGGGAUAACUUCGGGAAACCGGAGCUAAUACCGGAUAAUAUAUUGAACCGCAUGGUUCAAUAGUGAAAGACGGUUUUGCUGUCACUUAUAGAUGGAUCCGCGCCGCAUUAGCUAGUUGGUAAGGUAACGGCUUACCAAGGCAACGAUGCGUAGCCGACCUGAGAGGGUGAUCGGCCACACUGGAACUGAGACACGGUCCAGACUCCUACGGGAGGCAGCAGUAGGGAAUCUUCCGCAAUGGGCGAAAGCCUGACGGAGCAACGCCGCGUGAGUGAUGAAGGUCUUCGGAUCGUAAAACUCUGUUAUUAGGGAAGAACAAAUGUGUAAGUAACUAUGCACGUCUUGACGGUACCUAAUCAGAAAGCCACGGCUAACUACG